GAUGAACGCUGGCGGCGUGCCUAAUUCAUGCAAGUCGAGCGAACAGACGAGGAGCUUGCUCCUCUGACGUUAGCGGCGGACGGGUGAGUAACACGUGGAUAACCUACCUAUAAGACUGGGAUAACUUCGGGAAACCAGAGCUAAUACCGGAUAAUAUAUUGAACCGCAUGGUUCAAUAGUGAAAGACGGUUUUGCUGUCACUUAUAGAUGGAUCCGCGCCGCAUUAGCUAGUUGGUAAGGUAACGGCUUACCAAGGCAACGAUGCGUAGCCGACCUGAGAGGGUGAUCGGCCACACUGGAACUGAGACACGGUCCAGACUCCUACGGGAGGCAGCAGUAGGGAAUCUUCCGCAAUGGGCGAAAGCUUGACGGAGCAACGCCGCGUGAGUGAUGAAGGUCUUCGGAUCGUAAAACUCUGUUAUUAGGGAAGAACAAAUGUGUAAGUAACUAUGCACGUCUUGACGGUACCUAAUCAGAAAGCCACGGCUAACUACGUG
rnacentral:rRNA from 1 species